UAAGAAGGCAAGAGAUUUGCAGGAGACCUUCAACAGAUGGGUGAAUGAGCUCGAACGACACGGUCUCAGAGUCAGUCGCACAAAAACAGAGUACAUGGAAUGCGACUUCGGUGGUGAAGAAGAAACAUCUUGCAAUAUCUCAAUUGAUAACACAACAUUACCUCGAGUCACACAUUUUAAGUACCUUGGUUCUAUGCUUACGACUGAUGCUCGCGUGGACGCAGAUGUCAGUCACAGAGUUAACACCGCCUGGAUGAAGUGGCGAUCGCUAACUGGAGUACUCUGUGACACCCGUAUGCCAGAAAGCAGGCUUAGAUGGUACGGCCACAUCAUGAGACGAGAUGACCAUUUCCCAGUUAAAUCCGUCCUAAAUAUCCCCACUAAAUCCUUGGGAAGAGGAAGACCUCCCGACACAUGGUGGUCCAAUAUCAAGCGGGAGAUGAAAGCCCAGAACCUUACCCCUAUGACAACCCAGGAUAGAGCGUCCUGGCGCCGCCGUACAAGGAGGCCCGACCCCAGAUAGAACUGGGACUAAGG